GCCCAGAUGGCGGAACUGGUAGACGCGUCAGACUCAAAAUCUGGUUCUCGCAAGGGAGUGCAGGUUCGAUUCCUGUUCUGGGCA
rfam:Niastella vici strain DJ57 contig48, whole genome shotgun sequence.